rnacentral:lncRNA from 1 species
UUAUUCCAUAUUUAUCUCCUAACCAAAUAAACCCUAAAAUAACAAAUAUUAUCCUCAAAUAUUUAGUUCUUUAACUAAAUGCAGUCAUAAAAAUCUCAAGAUAAAGCACUUUAUUCAUGAGAUGUUAUUUCAUCAUGUCAAUCUUUUCAGAUGUACCCUUUUUUGGCAAAUCCUAUUCCAUACAAAAUUUAAAGUGUUACAAAAUGAAAUCUAAUACCGACUGUCCCUGACGCAAGUGGCAAAGGACUUGGUGGUUGGUAUCUAAGGUCCUAAGUUCGAAUCCUAAUUGAUUUACAGUUCCAGCUAAAUUUAUUUCUAAAAGCAAUAAAUGAAACAGGUAGCAUACUACCUAUCUCUCAAAAAAAUAUAAAAUGAAAUCUAAUAUAAAGUAGACACAUCAAC